UACGUAGGGGGCUAGCGUUGUCCGGAAUCAUUGGGCGUAAAGAGCGCGUAGGCGGCCAGAUAAGUCCGGUGUGAAAGUCACAGGCUCAACCUGUGAAUGCCGCUGGAAACUGUCUGGCUUGAGUCCGGGAGGGGCGAGUGGAAUUCCAGGUGUAGCGGUGAAAUGCGUAGAUAUCUGGAGGAACACCGGUGGCGAAGGCGGCAUCCUGGACCAAUAUUGACGCUGAGGAGCGAAAGCCAGGGGAGCAA
rnacentral:rRNA from 1 species